CAUAGGCUUCAAGCGUUGUCCGGAUUUAUUGGGCGUAAAGAGUUCGUAGGCGGUCGAGUAAGUCGGGUGUGAAAAUUCUGGGCUUAACCCAGAGACGCCACCCGAUACUACUUAACUUGAGUUCGGUAGGGGAGCGGGGAAUUCCUAGUGUAGCGGUGAAAUGCGCAGAUAUUAGGAGGAACACCGGUGGCGAAGGCGCCGCUCUGGACCGAUACUGACGCUGAGGAACGAAAGCAUGGGUAGCAAACAGGAUUAGAUACCCUGGUAGUCCAUGCCGUAAACGGUGGGCACUAGGUGUGGGUUCCAAUUAACGGAAUCCGCGCCGUCGCUAACGCAUUAAGUGCCCCGCCUGGGGAGUACGGUCGCAAGACUA
rnacentral:rRNA from 1 species